rnacentral:rRNA from 1 species
UACAUGGGGUGCAAACGUUGCUCGGAAUUAUUGGGCGUAAAGCGCGCGUAGGCGGUUACUUAAGUCGGAUGUGAAAGCCCUCGGCUUAACUGAGGAAGUGCACCCGAAACUGAGUAGCUGGGGUACGAAAGAGGGUCGCGGAAUUCCCGGUGUAGAGGUGAAAUUCGUAGAUAUCGGGAGGAACACCGGUGGCGAAGGCGGCGACCUGGGUCGAGACUGACGCUGAGGCGCGAAAGCGUGGGGAGCAAACAGG